rnacentral:rRNA from 1 species
UAGGGAAUCUUCGGCAAUGGGGGCAACCCUGACCGAGCAACGCCGCGUGAGUGAAGAAGGUUUUCGGAUCGUAAAGCUCUGUUGUAAGAGAAGAACGUAUGUGAGAGUGGAAAGUUCACACAGUGACGGUAACUUACCAGAAAGGGACGGCUAACUACGUGCCAGCAGCCGCGGUAAUACGUAGGUCCCGAGCGUUGUCCGGAUUUAUUGGGCGUAAAGCGAGCGCAGGCGGUUUAAUAAGUCUGAAGUUAAAGGCAGUGGCUUAACCAUUGUUCGCUUUGGAAACUGUUAAACUUGAGUGCAGAAGGGGAGAGUGGAAUUCCAUGUGUAGCGGUGAGAUGCGUAGAUAUAUGGAGGAACACCGGUGGCGAAAGCGGCUCUCUGGUCUGUAACUGACGCUGAGGCUCGAAAGCGUGGGGAGCAAACAGG